rnacentral:rRNA from 1 species
CGCGUAGGUGGUUUGAUCAGUCGGAUGUGAAAGCCCCGGGCUCAACCUGGGAACUGCAUUCGAUACUGUCGAACUAGAGUAUGGUAGAGGGAAGGGGAAUUCCAGGUGUAGCGGUGAAAUGCGUAGAUAUCUGGAGGAACAUCAGUGGCGAAGGCGCCUUCCUGGACUAAUACUGACACUGAGGUGCGAAAGCGUGGGUAGCAAACA